rnacentral:rRNA from 1 species
GACGAACGCUGGCGGCGUGCUUAACACAUGCAAGUCGAACGGAAAGGCCCUGCUUUUGUGGGGUGCUCGAGUGGCGAACGGGUGAGUAACACGUGAGUAACCUGCCCUUGACUUUGGGAUAACUUCAGGAAACUGGGGCUAAUACCGGAUAGGAGCUCCUGCUGCAUGGUGGGGGUUGGAAAGUUUCGGCGGUUGGGGAUGGACUCGCGGCUUAUCAGCUUGUUGGUGGGGUAGUGGCUUACCAAGGCUUUGACGGGUAGCCGGCCUGAGAGGGUGACCGGCCACAUUGGGACUGAGAUACGGCCCAGACUCCUACGGGAGGCAGCAGUGGGGAAUAUUGCACAAUGGGCGGAAGCCUGAUGCAGCAACGCCGCGUGCGGGAUGACGGCCUUCGGGUUGUAAACCGCUUUCGCCUGUGACGAAGCGUGAGUGACGGUAAUGGGUAAAGAAGCACCGGCUAACUACGUGCCAGCAGCCGCGGUGAUACGUAGGGUGCGAGCGUUGUCCGGAUUUAUUGGGCGUAAAGGGCUCGUAGGUGGUUGAUCGCGUCGGAAGUGUAAUCUUGGGGCUUAACCCUGAGCGUGCUUUCGAUACGGGUUGACUUGAGGAAGGUAGGGGAGAAUGGAAUUCCUGGUGGAGCGGUGGAAUGCGCAGAUAUCAGGAGGAACGCCAGUGGCGAAGGCGGUUCUCUGGGCCUUUCCUGACGCUGAGGAGCGAAAGCGUGGGGAGCGAACAGGCUUAGAUACCCUGGUAGUCCACGCUGUAAACGGUGGGUACUAGGUGUGGGGUCCAUUCCACGGGUUCCGUGCCGUAGCUAACGCUUUAGGUACCCCGCCUGGGGAGUACGGCCGCAAGGCUAAAACUCAAAGGAAUUGACGGGGCCCCGCACAAGCGGCGGAGCAUGCGGAUUAAUUCGAUGCAACGCGUAGAACCUUACCUGGGUUUGACAUGGAUCGGGAGUGCUCAGAGAUGGGUGUGCCUCUUUUGGGGUCGGUUCACAGGUGGUGCAUGGCUGUCGUCAGCUCGUGUCGUGAGAUGUUGGGUUAAGUCCCGCAACGAGCGCAACCCUUGUUCACUGUUGCCAGCACGUUAUGGUGGGGACUCAGUGGAGACCGCCGGGGUCAACUCGGAGGAAGGUGGGGAUGACGUCAAGUCAUCAUGCCCCUUAUGUCCAGGGCUUCACGCAUGCUACAAUGGCUGGUACAGAGAGUGGCGAGCCUGUGAGGGUGAGCGAAUCUCGGAAAGCCGGUCUCAGUUCGGAUUGGGGUCUGCAACUCGACCUCAUGAAGUCGGAGUCGCUAGUAAUCGCAGAUCAGCAACGCUGCGGUGAAUACGUUCCCGGG